GAUGAAGAACGCAGCGAAAUGCGAUAAGUAAUGUGAAUUGCAGAAUUCAGUGAAUCAUCGAAUCUUUGAACGCACAUUGCGCCCGCUAGUAGUCUGGCGGGCAUGCCUGUCCGAGCGUCAUUUCAACCCUCAAGCCCCCGGGCUUGGUGUUGGGGAUCGGCGAGCCUCCGCGCCCGCCGUCCCCUAAAUCUAGUGGCGGUCUCGCUGUAGCUUCCUCUGCGUAGUAGCACACCUCGCACUGGGAAACAGCGCGGCCACGCCGUUAAACCCCCAACUUCUGAACGUUUGACCUCGGAUCAGGUAGGAAUACCCGCUGAACUUAAGCAUAUCAAUAAGCGGAGGA
rnacentral:misc_RNA from 1 species